GCCAGUAAAAGUUUCGUUUUUGCGUCUUUUUUUUUUAACAAAACAGUUGAAGUAACAAGAUAAGAUCCAAAUGGCAAACCAAAUCACAUAAAUAGUCGCAUUCACUUAACUGUUACCUAUCCACUGUGCGUUUUCAAAUUUUAACGGACACAGCGGAUCACAGGAUGUGUGGAAUGUAACACAAACUCCAAGCGUCAUCCUACAUUUGCCUGAGCUGAGCCAGAGAGGAUACGCCGGGAGAUUACCUCCAGUGUUGGACUUACUGCUUCAAAUUGAAAACUGAGGUGAUCUUUCAAGAGAUGGAUAGAGACUAUGGCUCCCUGCUCAGCACCCUCAAGAGGAGGAGGCAGCUGACUGCUGAUGAGCUUAGGUUCAUAGCAGAGGAGGACAUGGCUCAUGAGGGCAUGAGCACACAGGAGGAAGAUCUGCUGGACCAGGAACUACUGCAGGAAUAGGCCACGAGGGAGGAUGAGAUGGAACCUGAUCCCCAGCCAUGUUUACUGGUGUUGUUGUUCUCCCUCUCUUCUCUCCACAGGUAUUGCAGUUGUUGAGUAUUUAUGAAUUUAUAUAUAUUCAGUUCCUGCACUCUUUAUUAAAAAUGUAUUUACUGUAGAUAGUUAGAAAGUUUGAUUUUGUAUGUUUUGCUGUGUAAUUCGUGUGUAAUUCUAAUGUUCAAAUUAAAUAAAGUGUGUGUUUUAUUGAUCACAUAAAAUUUAUAUUUCAGUGUUUGUGUACUUCAAUUUCAGAUGCAAUCUCAAUUUAUUAUUACAGGUGCUCAAAAGGAGUAUUUGAGGAGUGGUCAUGUGAAAUGUAUCUUAACAUUCUAAAUGUUUGUUUUAUUCCAUUUUCCCACUAAUCACUAGAAUGGUCAUAACUUUUAAACAAUAGAUUAUAUUUCUAAUCUGUGUGCUAUUCUACAUUGCCCACAAAAUUAUGUAUAUUUCAUACACUCUAAGUUUCCCUCUAGCUUGUAAUUAAAAUGGUUGAAAAUGCAGUUGUCUGAUGAAGUAUGGUGG